CCCUGACGUGCUGGAACUAAUAAACAUCUUGCUGAUUGCAUUGAAUCUCAGCUCUGGUGGUCUAUGGGGAUGAGCAGAUCUUUGGUGCUGAUCCUUCAGGUCCAAUAUUUGGGGGCUCGUCUGGGAUCCCACUCACCCCCCCCAUGCCAUGCACACCAGGUUAGGAGCCCACUUGAGAUGCUUGUUAGUAGCUGUUAUAGGUCCUCUUUACUACUGAGGAAAUACAGCAUCCUAUUUAGAGGCCUGAAAGAAUGUUCCAGACACAAAUGGAAGGCCCUCACUCCUGCCUGUUGACUUCAACACACCUGAUGGUAGGGAGUACCAGGUAUAUCAACAGGCUCCAAUGGUGUGUCUCCGAGGGGCUGGAAAAUCCCCCACCAAUUUGGCUAAGGUUAAAAGAUCUACAGGUGAUACAGAAAGAAAUCUGGUCACAGCUUGCAGCAGCCUAUGCCCCAGGGACCCCUGAGACACCUCACGAGUUCCAGGUUGGAGACUUGGUCUACAUAUGACAACACUGAGCCCAGACACUUGUGACUUACUGGAAAGGACUGUACCUGGUGCUGCUGACCAUCCCAACAGCCGUCAAUCUCAGCCCACACCAGCCGCAUACUAGCUGUUGGGGCUGGGAGCUGGGAACUAGAGGGACACUCAGAUCUAUAAAAACCUCCCUGGACUUGCAUGUCAGAUAAUGGAUGCAUCAGAGAUGUGACUGGGGGUAUUGCUGUAAUGCUUACUUGAAGAGUGUUUUGAAAGCAAGAAUUUUAUGUUUGCCCCGGGAUCCAUCGAGAUAGGUUCCUCAAUUGUAAGUGUGGGGUAGGCUUGAUUUCUAUUGCAAAUGAUGUAACAUCCCCUUACUAUGAAGGCAUUGCAUAUGUUAGUACUCCUAACAUUUCUUGGGACUGUCCCUCAGGGAUCACAACCUGUAUAAGUUUAGAAGUUAUAAAAGGCAGUCAUGACUUUUAUGUGUUUGUUCAGAUAGUGCUCUGAUUGGAAUCCUGAUGCAAAAUUCUAAGUAAGACACAAAAGAAGUUGGUAAUUACUCUGAUAAUUAUCUUUGGGCUAAGUUUAGGUGCUGCAGGGACAGUUACUGGACAUCUGCAACUCAAAACUUAUGGGGAACUGAGGGCUGCCGUUGACUUAGAUAUAGAAAGAGUAGAAAAGGCUUUUAGCUGACCUCCAAGAAUCCCUGGCCUCCCUCUCAGAGGUAGUAGUCCUUCAGAAUAGGAGAAGAUUAGACUGGGUAUUCCUUAAAGAAGGAGGUCUGUGUGCUACCCUAAAGGAAAAUGUUUUCUACAUAGACCAUUCUGGAGUUGUUAAAGAUUCUAUUGCCAAAGUGAGAGAAUGUUUAGCUAGCAGAUAAAGAGAAAAGUGAGAGCCACCAAGGGUGGUUCGCUUCCUCAUUCAGUAAGUCCCCGGGUUUACCAUAUUGAUCUCCACCCUCCUGGAACCCUUACUUAUUCUGCUCCUUUUGUUCACUUUUGACCCCUGCAUUCUUAAUCACUUAGUAGCCUUUAUCUGAGAAUUGAUAAGUUCUGUCCAGGUCUUGAUGUGAAGACAACAGUAUCAGACUAUAUCCAUAGAAGAUAAAUUGUGAUUUCGUGAUUGAAAUCAUCCAGAAGAAAAAGGGGAGACGGUGAAACCAAAGGAAAAUUCCACAAGCUAUACCCCUCCCCUUAGAAAAUUUCCCCGGCCAGGAAAUUCCACCAGUUAUAUCUCCCCCACCCAUUUGUGGUUUUAUGAUCUAGUUACACCAAGUACUCAUGGUAGCACAUGACUGGCAGGAACAGCAGGGACUUUCCACCACCCAAAAACCACAGCAUUGCUCCAGGCAACAAGUACAAUGUGACCACAAUGUGGACCAAUGAAGUUAAAGGGCAAAUGGUUCCAACCAAUUCUUGUGUGCCUCUAUGCAUCAUCCCCAUUCCUCUUGUUUUUGUGGUUCUUGUGCUUAAAAUUAGCAUGUAUCUGUAGGAUGGGGUUCUUCAUCUUCUUCUCCUGCUUAAAGGCUGAGAAACCCCAACAUGCCAGAAUUAAUAAACCUCUUGCUGAUUUUAUUGAA